ensembl:snRNA U6 U6 spliceosomal RNA
GUGCUUACUUGGCAGCAUAUAUACUAAAAUUGGAACGAUACAGAGAAGAUUAGCAUGGUCCCUGCGCAAAGACGACAUGCAAAUUCGUGAAGCAUUCCAUAUUUUU